CAAGCCUGGAACCUCAGCCCUAAGUGAAGACAGCUGACUCCAUUUUUCCACCCAAAUGAUUGCCUGUUUGGUCUGCUACACCCCUAUUCUGUGCACAUAAAAAGACUUCAGCUGGCAGAGUAACAAAAAGAGGCUGAUGCAAGUGAUCAGGAUACAUGCUGCUGAGCAUUGAAGACUAUGGAUAGACGUGGCUAACUUCAGACAGUGCAGCUUCAGGUCUCGGCUUAUUCACUACUUCCUAAGAGAACCCUUCCUGUCUCCUUAAGUACACUGAAUUCUCCAGUUACAUGGAGGUGAGCUCUUUGGGUGUAAAAUGCAAAGAUGGGAUGAAGAGACAUUGCAGCCCUCUGAUUACUCACUUGGGGGAAGUAGAUCAAGGCUAUGAUGUUGCCUGACAGUGAUGGUUGAAGGCAGCUGAGUCCUGUCAUGGAAAAUGUAAAGGCCCUCCCCUUUUUCAUUUCCCUCCAGGAACUUCUGCCUGUAGUAAUAAAGAAUCCUGUGUUCAUGCCUGUGUUGCUUCAUUUUAGGAGCUUGACUUUUAUAUGAAUCUUUGUCCAUGUGCAGGGCUGUCGACUAUUGUUUCUGCCUCAGCUUACCCAUGAAGAAAGGGAAGUGUGUGACAUUAAAUGAUUUGCCCAGGUCACCCAGAAAGUCAGUGAUGGAGUCUACAAAAGAAAGGAUAAGUUGUUUUUCUUCGUUCUCUACCUCAGCCACCAGAGGAAAUCGCAGCAAAGUGUCCAGGAUGGUUCAAUAAUCAGCCCUCCUUCCUUCCCAUGACCAGAAGCCACAGUUAUUUCCAUGAGGAUGCUGGUGUUUGGCUUCCUUCCUGCCUCAUUUGACUGAGUUGUCUUUGCUGUAGAGCUUGCUUUUCUGUAAGGCCAACGCUGUAUCAGAACCCAUGGAUUAUAAGCAAUAUUCACUGUGUGCCGAACCCUUAACACUAGGCACUGGGAGACACCAUGAGGGGACCUAACCCAUCUACAAUAUAAAAAUAAGCCUAUGGAACAGAACUGGGGGAACCUAGAAAGACCUGCUCUGGGGAGCCAUUUAUACCUGGCUUUGAAUCUCAGGGCAGUCACUUAUCAGCUGUGUAGCUUUGGGGAAGUUACACAAUCUCUCUGAGCCUUGCUUCCUUCACUUUCAAAAUGGAACUUGUAGCAUCUACCACAAGAAGAGUAUUCUGAGAAUUUAAGAAGCCUAUUUAUACAUGUAUAUCUAAAUGUGGGCAUACAAUGGCAAAUGAGAUGAGAAACAGAAGGAAAGAGAGAAAGGGAGGCUAGCACAUGUUUAUCACAGGUUAA
rnacentral:lncRNA from 1 species